UGUCUGGAAGAACUGACUUAAUGAAAGGGCAGUGCCUUGUUAACAGAACUGACAUGGCCAGGACAAAAUGUGACUCUUCGUUGUACACUGACAUUAACGAGGAAGCUUGUUUUCCUCUGGACACUCAACGUGAACACUGGUAUGGAUUGCCAGUGUAUUUCCUGGAAUGUCUCCCUGCAAUAAAAAAGUUUCUUCCUCACACA